AAGACUAUAGACCUGCGGAGUACCUGCGGAAGGAUCAUUACUGAGUGAGGGCCCCUCGGGGUCCAACCUCCCACCCGUGUUUAACGAACCUUUGUUGCUUCGGCGGGCCCGCCUCACGGCCGCCGGGGGGCUCUGCCCCCGGGCCCGCGCCCGCCGAAGACCCCCAUGAACGCUGUCUGAAGUUGCAGUCUGAGAAACUAGUUAAAUUAGUUAAAACUUUCAACAAUGGAUCUCUAGAUC
rnacentral:misc_RNA from 1 species